GAUGAAGAACGCAGCGAAAUGCGAUAAGUAAUGUGAAUUGCAGAAUUCAGUGAAUCAUCGAAUCUUUGAACGCAUCUUGCGCUCCUUGGUAUUCCGAGGAGCAUGCCUGUUUGAGUGUCAUUAAAUUCUCAACUCUCCUAUACUUUGUUGUAAAGGAAAGCUUGGAUUGUGGAGGCUUGCUGGCCCCUUGCUUGAGGUCAGCUCCUCUGAAAUGCAUUAGCGGAACUGUUUGCGAUCUGCCACAAGUGUGAUAAAUUAUCUGCACUAGCGCGGGGAUUGCUCUCUGUGUUCAGCUUCUAAUCGUCUCAGUGACAAUUUCUUGAAUGCUUGACCUCAAAUCAGGUAGGACUACCCGCUGAACUUAAGCAUAUCAAUAAGCGGAGGA
rnacentral:misc_RNA from 1 species